rnacentral:lncRNA from 1 species
AGAAGGUUUCGCAUCAACAUGCCUCCCAUAAAGAAAAUGUUUUUCUUGUUUUUGAGGAAAACAUGGAACAAAAUGUCAAUCGAUCAUCUCAAAAAUAGAAACUUUGAUAGAAAUAAUGAUAUUUUUCAUCAGAAAUAAAGUUAAUCAAAUACACCCUUAAAUUCAUCAAUUCAAGUGAAAUUCUCCAUGGGCCAUCAGCAAUUGCUACAAGUCGUUGAAGUCCUACCAUGAAGGUAGAGGAUUCAAAAUAAAUGGAAAGAGCUAUACCAGUCAACAACAACGAUAGACAUAAGCAACGCGUCGUCCUCUUGGAGGUGAAUUGCAAAGAUACAUCAGCAUCACCACAAGAAAAAUCACUACGAGAAAUCCGUUAAUGCUAAGUCCACCAUCGUCGGAUUCACAGCAAUACUUCCCCAUAGAAUUACCAAAUGUUUCUUCUGUACUUGGGUUUCUUGUGAAACUUGCACUUAAAUGUAAUGAAAUGAACUUGAGACAAUUCAAAAGGCAGUUAGAGAAAUUUAUACUAUAUUCCAAUGACUUGGAAAGGUUCCGUAGUAUUUGUUUAAGGUCUUGGUCUUCUAAAUGGUGUUUUGUGGGUGUUAU